rnacentral:lncRNA from 1 species
GAUUUGUUGAAAUCAAAUUUCAUGCUUGUUUUGGUUGUUUUAUUUUGAUGUAUGAAAUUCUAUGAUCAUGAUGUAUGAAUUCAUGUGUUUUUACUUCUUUAUGAGAAUUUUAUGAGGCAUGAAUUUCUAUAGUGGUUGAUGUUUGUUUGAAUAUAUAUAAAACAAGGUUUUAUUAAGCAUGAUUCAUAAAGUUUCCAUGGUGAUUGAUUAUGGAAAUAUUGAGCAUG